GACGAACGCUGGCGGCGUGCUUAACACAUGCAAGUCGAACGGAAAGGCCCUGCUUUUGUGGGGUUCUCGAGUGGCGAACGGGUGAGUAACACGUGAGUAACCUGCCCUUGACUUUGGGAUAACUUCAGGAAACUGGGGCUAAUACCGGAUAGGAGCUCCUGCUGCAUGGUGGGGGUUGGAAAGUUUCGGCGGUUGGGGAUGGACUCGCGGCUUAUCAGCUUGUUGGUGGGGUAGUGGCUUACCAAGGCUUUGACGGGUAGCCGGCCUGAGAGGGUGACCGGCAACAUUGGGACUGAGAUACGGCCCAGACUCCUACGGGAGGCAGCAGUGGGGAAUCUUGCACAAUGGGCGGAAGCCUGAUGCAGCAACGCCGCGUGCGGGAUGACGGCCUUCGGGUUGUAAACCGCUUUCGCCUGUGACGAAGCGUGAGUGACGGUAAUGGGUAAAGAAGCACCGGCUAACUACGUG
rnacentral:rRNA from 1 species